CCUACGGGAGGCAGCAGUGGGGAAUAUUGCACAAUGGGGGGAACCCUGAUGCAGCGACGCCGCGUGAGUGAAGAAGUAUUUCGGUAUGUAAAGCUCUAUCAGCAGGGAAGAAAAAGACGGUACCUGUUUAAGAAGCCCCGGCUAACUACGUGCCCGAAGCCGCGGUAAUACGUAGGGGGCAAGCGUUAUCCGGAUUUACUGGGUGUAAAGGGAGCGUAGACGGCAGCACAAGUCUGGAGUGAAAUGCCGGGGCUUAACCCCGGAACUGCUUUGGAAACUGUGCAACUAGAGUGCAGGAGAGGUAAGUGGAAUUCCUAGUGUAGCGGUGAAAUGCGUAGAUAUUAGGAGGAACACCAGUGGCGAAGGCGGCUUACUGGACUGUAACUGACGUUGAGGCUCGAAAGCGUGGGGAGCAAACAGGAUUAGAUACCCUGGUAGUC
rnacentral:rRNA from 1 species